rnacentral:rRNA from 1 species
AAGNAGGCCUUCGGGGUACACGAGCGGCGAACGGGUGAGUAACACGUGGGUGAUCUGCCUCGUACUUCGGGAUAAGCCUGGGAAACUGGGUCUAAUACCGGAUAUGACUACAGGAUGCAUGUCUUGUGGUGGAAAGAUUUAUCGGUGCGAGAUGGGCCCGCGGCCUAUCAGCUUGUUGGUGGGGUAAUGGCCUACCAAGGCGACGACGGGUAGCCGACCUGAGAGGGUGACCGGCCACACUGGGACUGAGACACGGCCCAGACUCCUACGGGAGGCAGCAGUGGGGAAUAUUGCACAAUGGGCGGAAGCCUGAUGCAGCGACGCCGCGUGAGGGAUGACGGCCUUCGGGUUGUAAACCUCUUUCGACAGGGACGAAGCGCAAGUGACGGUACCUGUAGAAGAAGCACCGGCCAACUACGUGCCAGCAGCCGCGGUAAUACGUAGGGUGCGAGCGUUGUCCGGAAUUACUGGGCGUAAAGAGCUUGUAGGCGGUUCGUCGCGUCGAUCGUGAAAACCUACCGCUCAACGGUGGGCUUGCGGUCGAUACGGGCGGACUAGNAGUACUUCAGG